rnacentral:rRNA from 1 species
AUGUUUUUUGCAGAAAACCCCCGCCCUCGCCCUCGCCCUCUCGCUCCGCGCCCGCCUCGCCGCCCUCGCCCUCGCCCUCUCCCCGUGGCGGCCUCCUACCUCAGCCGGCGCUUGUCCGACCUGUCCAGCCACCCCUGCUUCGCCCGGAACGCGCUCUGCCGCGAGCUGCUGCACUCCGUGGCCGCCACGCUCGCCGACGCGGCCGAGCUCGCCGCGCGGUGCCGCGGCCCGCCCAGGGACGGGAAGCUGCAGACGCAGAGCGCCAUCGACGCGCUCGGCGCCCGGCUCGACGUCAACCUCCGCGACUGCGCGCUGCUCGUCCGGACCGGCGUGCUCUCCGACUCCGACGCGUCCGCCGUCGCCGCCCCGGCGACGGCGCAGGCGGACGUGCGGGAGCUGCUCGCGCGGCUGCAGAUCGGGCACGCCGAGGCCAAGACCCAGGCAGUGGACGGGCUCCUCGACGCGCUCAACCGGGACGAGAAGAGCGUGGUGUCGGUGCUCGGCCGCGCCAACUUGUCCGCGCUGGUGCAGCUGCUCACGGCGCCGGCGCCCAAGGCGCGGGAGAAGGCCGCCAUGGUGAUAUGCCGGCUCGCGGAGUCGGGAGGUGGCGCCUGCGAGGGGCUGCUCGUGUCGGAGGGCGCGCUUCCGCCGCUCAUCCGGCUGGCCGAGUCCGGCAGCAGCCUCGUCGGCCGUGAGAAGGCCUCCGCGGCGGCCGGCGCGCUCAAGAACCUCUCCGCGGCGCCCGAGGCGCGGCAAGCGCUGGCCGACGAAGGCAUUGUCCGCGUCAUGGUCAACCUGCUGGACUACGGCACCGUGCUGGGCUCCAAGGAGCACGCCGCCGACUGCCUGCAGAACCUCACAUCGGGCGGCGACAGCUUCCGGCGCUCCGUCGCGCACGACGGCGGGCUGCGCAGCCUGCUCCUCUACCUGGACGUGCCGUCGCCGCAGGAGUCCGCGGUGCGCGCGCUCGGGAACAUGGUGGACGCCAUCUCGCCCGACACCAUCGUGUCCCUCGGCGUGCUCCCGCGGCUGGCGCACGCGCUCAGAGCCGGGUCACCCGGCGCGCAGCAGGCUGCAGCAACGGCCAUAUGCAGGAUGUCCGCCAGCGGCAGCAGGGACAUGAAGCGGCUGGUGGGCGAGCACGGCUGCAUCCCGCUGCUGGUGCGGAUGCUGGACGCCAAGUCGGCCGGCGCGCGCGGGGCGGCGGAGCAGGCGGUGGCGAGCCUGGCGGCGGGGCACCCGGGCAACGCGCGGGAGGUGCGGAGGGACGAGAGGAGCGUGCUGAGCCUGGUGCAGCUGCUGGAGCCGAGCCCGGCGAACACGGCGAAGAAGACGGUGAAGGCCAGCUGCGUGGACACGGGCACGAACGACAGCCCGUACGCGUACAGGAAGUCGUCGGCGCCGGUCGCCAGCCCGAGCCCCGCAGCGGCGAGCAGUAUCCUCGGCGGGGUCAGCACCACUGGCGCGCUGGGGUCGUGCGCGCGCCGGCUGAGGUAG